rnacentral:piRNA from 1 species
UCAACAUGAACCAGUGCACAGAUGUGGUGU